AGAACGAACGCUGGCGGCAGGCUUAACACAUGCAAGUCGAACGAACGUAGCAAUACGUUAGUGGCGCACGGGUGAGUAACGCGUGGAUAUCUGCCUUUUGGUUCGGGAUAACCUUGGGAAACUAGGGCUAAUACCGAAUGGUUCCUACGGGAUAAAGAUUUAUCGCCAAAAGAUGAGUCCGCGUCCGAUUAGCUAGUUGGUGGGGUAAUGGCCCACCAAGGCGACGAUCGGUAGCUGGUCUGAGAGGACGAUCAGCCACACUGGGACUGAGACACGGCCCAGACUCCUACGGGAGGCAGCAGUGGGGAAUAUUGGACAAUGGGGGCAACCCUGAUCCAGCCAUGCCGCGUGAGUGAUGAAGGCCUUCGGGUUGUAAAGCUCUUUUGGCGGGGUACGAUGAUGACGGUACCCGCAGAAUAAGCCCCGGCUAACUUCGUGCCAGCAGCCGC
rnacentral:rRNA from 1 species